CGUCCCUCAAGCCUGGCUUGGUGUUGGGCCCGCCGUCCGCGGCCAGCCCUAAAGGCAGCGUGGCGUGGGCGCCGCCCCUGGCGUGGUAAGCACUCGCUCGGGGGCGGCGGUCGCCCGCCGUGAACUCCACUGU
rnacentral:misc_RNA from 1 species